rnacentral:tmRNA from 1 species
CGCCAAAAAAAGAGAAAGACAAAAGAGUAAAAAAGAAUUGCUUGUUGACGAUAAAUGAAAUAGGCAGACUGGACGAGGGUGCAACUCCCUCCACCUCCACCAUAACCACUUCUAUGAAGCAUGGUGGAUCCACAGAUGAAGUGGUUAUGGGGGGUGUGGUAGGAAUCGACAGAUGUUGAAAGAUUUAUCAGAGAGUAAUAGGUGGCAACCUCUCAUGCUAAUUAAACGCAAACGAUAAUAGUUUUGCAUUAGCAGCUUAAACUGCUUAGGGUUUUGUGGAUUGUACCUCGUAACAGAAACAAUCCACG